UAGAUUCCUAUUGGCCAGCAGUGCUUUAUUAACAAAUGUACAGGACUUCGCCCAUCAUACAGAGAAAUCCUUUCUCAAAAAAACAAAAAAAGUUUAUUGAGCAGAGAGAUACCAGCGAUGAGAGCAUCCACUCUCCCAUUGCACAGGUGCUAGCUUAAGUGUCAGAAAUGCAAAGAAAAAAGCUCAGAUCAACAGAAGAGAUUGGUGCAAAAAGAAAAAAGAAAAGAACAAAAGUACAUGUAGUAAUAGAGCUGGAGACCUUGCUUGGAGGUAGAGUUCUUGCCUGCCAUGUAUUAGCCUCCAUCUCCAGCACCAUAAGGGUAAAGAAGAAUGUUUGUGUGCAUGGUAAGGGUUGUGGCUGCAGCAAUUGUACUACCUUGCAGAGGUCACUGCUGUGAAACAUUAUUUUAAGACAUUUGUUUUUUUUUCUAUGGAGAGAUGUAUUCUUUUAUGUGUUAUUUGUUUAACUCUGUGAAGCUGGGUUACUUUGCUUGCCUAAAACAGCUGAUUGUCUAAUAAAGAGUUGAUUGGCCAAUUGCAUGGCAGGAGAGGGACAAGCAGGGCUGCCAGGCAGAGAUAGUGAAUAAAUAAAAAAGAAUGAGAUGACAGAGGAGCAAGAGGACACCAGGGGCCAGCCACUCAACUACAAAGCAAGAGAAGAGAAUAAGAAUUAAAGAAAGGUAUAUAGGAUAAAGAUAAAAGUCCAGAGGCAAUGGGUAGGUGGGAUAAUUUAAGAAAAGCUGGCUAGAAACAAGCUAAGCUAGUGUGUGCAUUCAAAGGUAAGAAUAAGACUCCAUAUAUUUGGGAGCUGGGUGUCAGGCUCCCAAAGAGCAGAGUAAGAGUAAAACAAAACCAACUACAGGUCACUAGUUUGCUCACAACGACCUGUAACUCAGGUUCAAGGGAUUUUGACACCUUCUGCUCUGUAAACACUGCUUCCAAUAUUAUAGAUACCAUAGGCUGCCUUGUCCUCCAGCUGGUGCCCAUAUUCAGAGAGUUUGCUUAUGUCCAAUACUGCUGCCCCCCACACUUUAUGAAUUAGGGUAAUUAGGGUCUCCGUGCUCUCAUUAGCCCAGGUCAACUGUUUUUGCUUUUAUCUCCAGCAACAUCUUGGCCCUUUUGCUUAUUGCUCCUCCCUCUCCACAACUGAAUCUCAUCAAUCUCAUUAUAGAGAAUGGGCAUCAAAGUCAGUUGUGAUGUAUCUCUGAUUUCUUUCUCAGCCUAUUUGUCAUCUGUAUAUACUAGAGAUACUGAUUGUUUUUAGUUAAUUUUUUAUCCUGUACUUUACUGAAAGUCUUUACCAGCUGUAGGUGUUCUGUGGUAAAGUAUUUUGGCUAGAAGUUAAAGUACAGUGUUGAAGAGAAAUAGAGUUGACAGCCUUGAAUUCUUCCUGAUUGUAGAGGAAUCAUGG